UAGGGAAUCUUCCACAAUGGACGAAAGUCUGAUGGAGCAACGCCGCGUGAGCGAAGAAGGUUUUCGGAUCGUAAAGCUCUGUUGUGAGGGAAGAACAAGUACGGGAGUAACUGCCCGUACCUUGACGGUACCUCAUUAGAAAGCCACGGCUAACUACGUGCCAGCAGCCGCGGUAAUACGUAGGUGGCAAGCGUUGUCCGGAAUUAUUGGGCGUAAAGCGCGCGCAGGCGGUCCUUUAAGUCUGAUGUGAAAGCCCACGGCUCAACCGUGGAGGGUCAUUGGAAACUGGGGGACUUGAGUACAGAAGAGGAAAGCGGAAUUCCACGUGUAGCGGUGAAAUGCGUAGAGAUGUGGAGGAACACCAGUGGCGAAGGCGGCUUUCUGGUCUGUAACUGACGCUGAGGCGCGAAAGCGUGGGGAGCAAACA
rnacentral:rRNA from 1 species